UACGUAGGGUGCGAGCGUUGUCCGGAAUUAUUGGGCGUAAAGAGCUUGUAGGCGGUCUGUCGCGUCUGCUGUGAAAAUCCGGGGCUCAACCCCGGACUUGCAGUGGGUACGGGCAGACUAGAGUGUGGUAGGGGAGACUGGAAUUCCUGGUGUAGCGGUGAAAUGCGUAGAUAUCGGAAGGAACACCAGUGGCGAAAGCGGCUUCCUGGUCCAGCACCGACGUCAGGCACGAAAGCGUGGGGAGCAAACAGG
rnacentral:rRNA from 1 species